AAUAGAUACCCUGGUAGUCCACGCCGUAAACGAUGAGUGCUAAGUGUUAGAGGGUUUCCGCCCUUUAGUGCUGCAGCUAACGCAUUAAGCACUCCGCCUGGGGAGUACGGCCGCAAGGCUGAAACUCAAAGGAAUUGACGGGGGCCCGCACAAGCGGUGGAGCAUGUGGUUUAAUUCGAAGCAACGCGAAGAACCUUACCAGGUCUUGACAUCCUCUGACAACCCUAGAGAUAGGGCUUUCCCCUUCGGGGGACAGAGUGACAGGUGGUGCAUGGUUGUCGUCAGCUCGUGUCGUGAGAUGUUGGGUUAAGUCCCGCAACGAGCGCAACCCUUGAUCUUAGUUGCCAGCAUUCAGUUGGGCACUCGUAAGGUGACUGCCGGUGACAAACCGGAGGAAGGUGGGGAUGACGUCAAAUCAUCAUGCCCCUUAUGACCUGGGCUACACACGUGCUACAAUGGAUGGUACAAAGGGCUGCAAAACCGCGAGGUUAAGCGAAUCCCAUAAAACCCGAUUCUCAGUUCGGA
rnacentral:rRNA from 1 species